CCCACUCAACCCUAGGGGACCACU
rnacentral:miRNA from 1 species